rnacentral:rRNA from 1 species
UACGGAGGGUGCAAGCGUUGUCCGGAAUCACUGGGCGUAAAGGGCGCGUAGGCGGCUCAUGAAGGCUGUGGUGAAAGUCCGGGGCUCAACCUCGGAUCGGCCGUGGCGACUCGUGGGCUGGAGCACUGUAGAGGCGGGUGGAAUUCCGGGUGUAGCGGUGGAAUGCGUAGAGAUCCGGAAGAACACCGAUGGCGAAGGCAAUCCCCUGGGCCUGUACUGACGCUCAUGCACGAAAGCGUGGGGAGCAAACAGG